AUUGAACGCUGGCGGCAUGCUUUACACAUGCAAGUCGAACGGUAACAGGGAGCUUGCUCCGCUGACGAGUGGCGAACGGGUGAGUAAUGCAUCGGAACGUGCCUAUUUGUGGGGGAUAACGUAGCGAAAGUUACGCUAAUACCGCAUACGCCCUGAGGGGGAAAGCGGGGGCUUCGUAAGAACCUCGCGCAAUUAGAGCGGCCGAUGUCGGAUUAGCUAGUUGGUGGGGUAAAGGCUCACCAAGGCGACGAUCCGUAGCGGGUCUGAGAGGAUGAUCCGCCACACUGGGACUGAGACACGGCCCAGACUCCUACGGGAGGCAGCAGUGGGGAAUUUUGGACAAUGGGCGAAAGCCUGAUCCAGCCAUGCCGCGUGAGUGAAGAAGGCCUUCGGGUUGUAAAGCUCUUUCAGCCGGAAAGAAAUCGCGCAGGCUAAUACUCUGCGUGGAUGACGGUACCGGAAGAAGAAGCACCGGCUAACUACGUG
rnacentral:rRNA from 1 species